GGUUCAUAACGCACAUAUAAAGAUCUGAAUUGGUAACUUCAAGGUCAUCAACCUAUUAAUCUGUCUGAAGAGAAGGUUUUGAUGUGUUUUGGUCAUAGCCUGUACGAGAGAACAGACUGCAUGAGGCACAGCAGGUCAAUGGAAAAAUAACUGUCCUGUGUUGACUUUGAGCCAAAAUACAGUAACUUAGCAACUGAAAGCAGGCUGAGACCCGGUGGCAGACAACUGGAGCCAGCAGAAAUACAGUUACCUGAAGAUGAGUCCUUCUGCAACACUACAUAUUGCCUGUUUACUCUGAUUCACUGUGGCACCGCUUGGCCUCUUCAGCUAUUCCUCUCCACCAGUUGAAGGCGUGGAAGCACCAAUGUAACAGUGUGCUGUGGAGUUUUCCAAAGUCCUUCUCAAAUUUCCUGCCAAGUUUUACAGUGAAUCUGCGAGCUAAGAUAAAAAUAUGUGGCUGGGUAUUAGAUGUAUGCAGCUGCCUGAAAGGCUAUGGUUCUCUUCUCUGCCCUCUCUGGGUAUUCUGAAGGGUUUUCUUGUUUUGUUUUUAAUCCUACUGUAGGUAACAUUUAUGUGGAAAAGAUAUUUCUAUAUUUGGUCUCAGUUUUAACGUCUGUGGCUUUUCAGCCAAAGCUUACAACGUGUCCUUCUGCCUUUGCUUGUGCUUUUCCUGUUUGCUCACACCUCCUGUCACAGCCUCCUUUUCAUCCUGAGGUAGCUGGAGUACCCCAAGAGUGUAUACAUGCACCACAUGUGAGCAUGCUUAAUAAGGAGCAAGUGGACAAGCAAUCUUGUUCUAGGUCAUCAAUUUCUCAAAAAUCAGAGUCUCUUGGGUAUGAAAAUUGGAAAAUGCUACAGCAUAGUCAGACCAGAACUCUCACUGGCUAUGCACAGAAACACAGUGUGCUCCUUGGGCUGAUCCUUCAGGGAAGCACAUUUUCAAACUCUGCAUCAUCCCAUUUGGUAGUUGUUUACCUUUUUUAACAUGAAAUUUUUAAAUGAUGCUUAAUCAUACCAAAGAGCUUUCUUUUCCUCAGACAAAUUAUGUAUUUACAUACAAUUCUCUAAUUGCUUACUGUAUGUUGUCUUCCAAAUGUAACACCUGCUUGGGGAUGCUGCUAAUUUAGAUAUAACAAGAUAAACAGUAGAGUUCUGCAUUGUAUGAGGCAGGAGAAAAGUCAUUCUUAAGAC